rnacentral:rRNA from 1 species
ACGAACGCUGGCGGCGUGCUUAACACAUGCAAGUCGAACGGAAAGGCCCUGCUUUUGUGGGGUGCUCGAGUGGCGAACGGGUGAGUAACACGUGAGUAACCUGCCCUUGACUUUGGGAUAACUUCAGGAAACUGGGGCUAAUACCGGAUAGGAGCUCCUGCUGCAUGGUGGGGGUUGGAAAGUUUCGGCGGUUGGGGAUGGACUCGCGGCUUAUCAGCUUGUUGGUGGGGUAGUGGCUUACCAAGGCUUUGACGGGUAGCCGGCCUGAGAGGGUGACCGGCCACAUUGGGACUGAGAUACGGCCCAGACUCCUACGGGAGGCAGCAGUGGGGAAUAUUGCACAAUGGGCGGAAGCCUGAUGCAGCAACGCCGCGUGCGGGAUGACGGCCUUCGGGUUGUAAACCGCUUUCGCCUGUGACGAAGCGUGAGUGACGGGAAUGGGUAAAGAAACACCGGCUAACUACGU